ensembl:misc_RNA 7SK 7SK RNA
AGAGUUGAUGCGGUUGAUUUGGCUGUGACAUGUCACCCCACUGAUCAGCAGGGGUUGAUGUGGCCUAUCUGGCUGGCCAGGCAGGCGUCCCCUUCCUCCCCUCACUGCUCCGUGUACGUCCCUCCCAAGGCUGUGCUCCUGGUAGGAGAUGACGGCCUGCCCCGACGAGAGAUGGACCGUUCUCCCGUCGAGGGUGUACAAGCAGCUGCGUUCCCUGGCUGGCACCUCCAGAGAAGCUCUCAAGAAUUACAAACAGCCACUCACACAAGUCCAGU